rnacentral:rRNA from 1 species
GGGGGAUAACGUAGCGAAACGCUACGCUAAUACCGCAUACGAUCUAUGGAUGAAAGCGGGGGAUCGCAAGACCUCGCGCGAUUGGAGCGGCCGAUAUCAGAUUAGGUAGUUGGUGAGGUAAAGGCUCACCAAGCCGACGAUCUGUAGCUGGUCUGAGAGGACGACCAGCCACACUGGGACUGAGACACGGCCCAGACUCCUACGGGAGGCAGCAGUGGGAAUUUUGGACAAUGGGCGCAAGCCUGAUCCAGCAAUGCCGCGUGCAGGAUGAAGGCCUUCGGGUUGUAAACUGCUUUUGUACGGAACGAAACGAUGAGCUCUAAUACAGUUUGCUAAUGACGGUACCGUAAGAAUAAGCACCGGCUAACUACGUG